rnacentral:lncRNA from 1 species
UUCUCAUAGAAGGAAGGACCUAAUAAACCCUGAGUGAAUGAAUGAAUGAAUGAAUGGGCCCCACAGCAAACAGCCCAAUAUCAAGCACACAAUUGACCUCAAGUAAACAGAUAUUGUUUGAGGUUAUUAUGUUCCCAGGAACAUAUACUGAAAUGCUGAAGCCACACUAACAUUAAGUGGGUAAAACAUCACAUGAGUUGUUAACAACAAUAACAUCUCCCGUGCGAGUCGUCUGAUCUCCCCAGCCCUUGGGUCUCUCCUCACUGCCGCCAGACUUUGGGCACCUCCUGGAUCGCUCAACUCGGGUCCUGGGAGCACAUUUGUGAGGCCUCAAAGCUGAAAGCUACUAGACUUUCUGCUCAGGAGCUCUCAGCCCAGUGCCAGCCACAUCCCUGGACCAGGCCACGGCCAAGCAAGACUUCAGCCUCCAGUGCGAGACAGCCCCGCGCCGCGGGGGCGCACAAGCCGCGGCGCCCGGGCUGGCAGCCUCCCUCCGCCGCUUCCCUGUCGGCGCCCCCGGGCCCGCGUCCGCGCCCCCCGCCACCUCCGUGCCGGCCCCUCCGCCUGCGCCCUCGCUCCCCGCUCCACCCGGGAUCUGAGCCCGGUCCCGUCUCCUCAGCGCUCCAUCCCCGGGUCUCUCCCUCUGACCUCCUGGGCCAGCGUCCUCAAAGUGUGGCCCCGGGACCGGCAGCAGCAGCAGCAUCCCCCGGAACUUGUUAGAAAUGCUGACUCGGGCCAGCCCAGACCUACUGAGUGAGAAUCUCCGGACCCAGCCAGCUGCCUGGCCCAGGCCCUCGGGAGAUGGUCGCGCUAGCCCAAGUUUGAGAACCGCUGCUCUGGAGCGCGGACACCGCCUGUCCGACUCCGUCUGGGAGGGUAGACUGAGCUCCCUGAGGACACCGCUCCUGUCUCUGUUCCCUCAGUUAGCGGCUGUGCUGCGCAGCCCUUCACCUCUGCUGAUUGCUGACUGGUGAGGGAGGGAGAACGGUUCCUGCGGGCAGCCCUGCGAGCUUUAAUACAAAUUGUCUUUCCUGGAUCAUCACCAGAAGUGACUUAGAGAUUGACACAAAUUUCCUCAAAGAAUUGAUCCACUUAGCAUCUCUUUAGAUUAAAUCCCAAAUUGUUUACAACGGAGCUGGAAAAGCACUGACUCCGCUGUGAUGGCCUCGCGCACCUGGCCUGGCUCCCACAUCCAGCCUUCUGCCGGAGACCAUGCGCCCUUGCUUUGUGGAUGUCACUUACCGGCUGUAGGAAAAUCUAUCCAAGAAGGUUUGGGAUACAUUUGAAGAUAGCGAUCUAAAGGUUAUUCCCGUUUCAUAAGAAGAGAAUACUUCUCUGUUCCAGAAAAAUGUGGAAAAGUGAAAAAGAUGUGGACAUAUUUUGUCUUUUCCCCCAGAAUAUUCUUUGGUUUUUUUUACAUCAUGUUUUCAGUAAAAUUUAAAACACGCGUAACUCUGUAAUGUGUCCCACAGUCCCUGAGGCCCAAGUCUCGGCGUUAACCUGGUGACGGCGAAGGUCAGCCCAGCGGCUGUGGCUUAGCGGAAUGUCUCCAACUGGAAGUCCAUUUUACCACCAGCAACCUGUGCAGCAGCACCUGGGAGACCCGAGUCCCUGUCCUCCUAGGCCUCAGCAGUGCGUGACCUGGAGUGGCAUCAAGCCAGCCUGGGGUUUCCAGGGACCUUCCUGACUGAUUCACCAGAAAGACCCUUUCAUCCCGUCCUGUGCCCCAGGUGGGACCUGCACAACGGCACUAGGCUGGAGCAGAGGUGUGGGGGUGGGGAGGUAUGCAGAUCCUUGGGGUUUUAGCAGAGUUCAAAUAAGUUUGUUUUGAGAAUAUGAUAAACCCUUUGAGAGGACUAGAGGAGGUGGAGGCAGCCCCGGCGCCACCCCACGAGCCCUUCCACACCCUGGCAGGGCUGUGAGCCAGGGGGAUAGUUCUUCCCCUGAAGGACUCAAUUCCUUGGGCCCGCACUCCUUUCCCUCAUGCUGACAUCUGAAAGGAGAUGAAAUGCCUCAGAUAAGACUUUAAUUCUAAACCUCGAAGCCCCAGAGCGGGCAAGAUUGCUGUGCAUCUAAAGGUGGGUGCAACAGAGAAACAAACAUGGUCCAUGGAAUCCCAGGCUUAUCCCCCUCCACUCAGAGCUCAGGCUGUCUUCAGGGAAAGUCUAAUUGCCUGAGCGAGCAUUUUUAAUUUUUCCAAUCCACCUGGCAGGAAGCCUGACCACAGCGUCUGCCUUGCCCUCUUCCUGAAACUCGGGCCUAUUCAGCAGGACUUAUAGAUUCGGGAGGGGGUCUGUAUUUCUUCCCAGUUCUGCUGCCCGUUUUUCACAAGAGAAAACUGGGUUUCAGAGAUAUGAAAUAGAUUCUGCAAUGAAAGCAUUUGGAGCCAGACAGUGAGAAAAAUCUAGUGUAUAACCAGGGUCCUUUUACGACCAUGGCUGCAAAUUAGAACCACAAGGACACUUAAAAAAAUUCUGAUACCCAGGCUCCACCAAAUAUUUACUCUAAGAUGGGGCCUUUUCCUUCCCUCCCUCCCUCCAUUCCUUCCUUCCUUUUUCUCUGUCUCUCUCUCUCCUUCUCUUUCUCUCUGUUUCAUUCAUUUAAAAAGUCUUUCCCAGUGAUUCUAAUACACCAGGGUUGAGAACUACUCACCUAAAUAAGACAACUGUGUUAAAAAGAUGCUCCAAUAGAAAAAUGGACAAAGGAAAUGAAUGGGGGCAAUCCACAGAGAGGAAAUAAACAUGGCUAAUAGGUAC